UGCCGCAUUGUUUUGAGAUUGGAAAACUCAACAUAAAAAAACAAAACGAGUAAUGUCGGUUUUUAAUGGCGGGCUGCACCUUCGGGCAAGUCGUAGACUCAGCAGAUUACAAAGAAAGCUUACACCUCAAAUCCUGUCUACAGGAGUUUUCUCAUAUAUCGCAAUGCGGUUCUUUUA
rnacentral:sRNA from 1 species